rnacentral:misc_RNA from 1 species
GUGAAGAAUGCAUCGGAUGAUAAUGGCCUUGAUAAAACAGCUCAACAGGAUUCAUUCCGGAGAAUAAACAACGUUUGUAUGCAGAUGAUGCGGCAACUGUGUUCAGUCCACAGUAAGCAAAUUCAUACUCAAGUGAAAAUUGUAGCUGAUGCGUAGCAGGGAUCAGUGGCCACAGAAGCCAGAGAGCUGGAGGCAAACUGGGUAAUCUUAGAUAGAUGCUUGAAGAAAG